CUGCAAUGCCUCUCCCCCAGAAUUUACCUGGGGCGGCAGCCAUCCUCAGUGUUUGGCCAGCUUGGCCUCUGCUGUCACAGCCUUGUUCUGUUAAAAUAAAUAUACUAAACUCACUCUCAGCAGGUUACGGUGGCUGUCCCUAAUGUGGCGAGUGGCUGUGCUCCGGUGAUAGCUGAGUGGACACACGGGUUUCAAUGCCUCAGUUGGGAGAAAUGAAGAAUAUGAGGACAGAGGAUAAAGAGAAUUUGGUUCCAUGACCUGAGAUGGUGGAGCUUAUCUCUGACAGUGGCGGCCCCGACAUCUAGUCUGAGGUCAAGUUAAAAAGGACUCGGGCCAGCACUAAGAAGCUUUGUUCAGUGGAAUUUGUCCUUUCCAGAUCUCUCACAGACAGGACCUGAGCUGACAAGUUCCCCCAGCCCAGUCUACGGGAGCCCAGGAGGAGACCUUUAGAGGAUCUGUUUGCUGACUUCCAUUUCACAUCUUGCAAGCAAUUCGUUUUUGUUAUAGUUUAUAAAAGCUUUGGUGAGCAAUGGUUUGGAAAGCAUUUUACCAAACGAGUCCUUCACCACGGAUGAUUUCAGCACCGAUCUCCAAAGGUGUCCCAUCUUUGAAAUGGAUAUUCCUUGGGAUAAGACAUGUGGGUAACACAAGCCACCCCGGUCUGCUGAGCCUGAUUUGGCAGCUGUGGUGGACGCCGUGCUCUCCUGGGCACCAUCUUCCCUGGUUGCUCCUCCUCCUGCCCUGGCUGCUGAUUUUUGCACAGACUCCGAUCCUGGGGAACCAGGUUGGGCAGGCACACUCUGCUCACAUCCAGUGACUGGUCCAGGGAGGAACAUGGGUCCCAAGCUGAUCUGCUCUAACUCUAGAACCUGGAACAUUAUCGACAUUUCCUAUAUCAAUAUCGCUGAAGAGAACCUCAAUGAAUAAUGAUGGUAGAGUAAUGGAGGAAGAUGAUCCAUUGCCACCAAAACAUGAGUUGCGACUGCAUCAACAGAAGCCACCUUUGCUCCAAACCCUGGGCUGAACCGCCAAAAUUUCCCAUUCUAGAGAAGCCAGCCUGCCCACCCCUGCCAGGGACUGAGGGAUAUUCAUGAAUGACUUGCUUCAAGGAGUAGCUUGUUCACUCAUUGUUCAUUGCACACUGCUGCAACAGGAACAGCUUUCUCAUGACCAAAUGUCAAAAGGAACCAAGACUACUCAUUUUCUAUUUGAACCUGGAGGUGAAGACUCCACCAUUUCCUCUACACAUUCCUUAUCAUUCUGGGAAAAGAGUAACUCAGGUUGCAUGAAAGCUCCUGCUCCCAAAGAACUGGAUGCAUCUUGGCAAUGACAACAAUACUAGUAAUCUCUUAUACUUGCAUAAGAUGCUUAGCCAUCAUUGUUUAAUCCUGACACUACCUAUGGGAGAGGUGUUAUUUUCUCACUUCUUAGAUAAAAACAUUGAGGCUCAAAAAGGUUAGGUAAGUUGUCAUGUAGGUAAAAUGGAGCUUGAUCUCAAACUCAGUCCCCUUGGGAGCUGUUUCCUAUGUCAGUAUUACUGAAAAGAAGAUUGAAUUCUACUGGCAAAACCGGUCACUGACAAGAAAAAUCCAUGACUGGGUGAUCUGGAAUUCAACUGGCAUCUGUUAGUUGAUCAGAGAGCUUGGUCAAGUAACAAAGAAUGGAUUUUAGACUCAGAUUUAAGACCUUACCUUGGAACACAUUUGGUUUUUUAUUUUAGGUAAGUCACUUCUCUUUGAGCCAUAGUUUUCUCUUCUCUAAAUGGGUUAUCAACACGUCUUCCAGAGUUGUUUGGGCAUUAACUUGCCCCAAGUCACACCAUUAGCAAAGGGCAAAGCCAGAACUUGAGCCCAGUCACUGAAGCUAAUAAUAGCAUUGAGAUAAUAGCAAUGAAAAUGAGACUGGACAUUCCCUAGUCAUUUGCUUUCUCAGCCUACCCAGUGAUUUGCCCACCCACUGUUAGAAAAAUGAGGGGAAAGGAGGGAAGGAAAAGAGAUUUGAUGUAAUGAGUCCUUGACCUUCAAGAAGGGGUUGAGUCUGAGCAUAGGGAAAGCAAAAGAUAGGAGCAGAGGCAGAGCAUUCACCCACAUUCAUCCUGGUAGAAAAUUUAGCUUGAGUAAUCCAGGACUUGAAUCUCUUCCUUCCAAAUAUAAAAGAAAAAACAUUUCAAGAUCCUUAACAUGACUAUCCCAUCCCCUCUACCAUUGCUUUUCAGUGCCCUCACUUAGUGGAAAAUAGAAAUCCUGUGGCUCCUUUUGAUUAUAGGCCAUGGAGACCCAGCUAAGGACAGGCAACUCUCCUCCUGCUGUUCCUGCUGGACAGCAAUAAACAGCCAAGCGUCCCCA
ensembl:lncRNA